rnacentral:rRNA from 1 species
GAUGAACGCUGGCGGCGUGCCUAAUACAUGCAAGUCGAGCGAACAGACGAGGAGCUUGCUCCUCUGACGUUAGCGGCGGACGGGUGAGUAACACGUGGAUAACCGACCUAUAAGACUGGGAUAACUUCGGGAAACCGGAGCUAAUACCGGAUAAUAUAUUGAACCGCAUGGUUCAAUAGUGAAAGACGGUUUUGCUGUCACUUAUAGAUGGAUCCGCGCCGCAUUAGCUAGUUGGUAAGGUAACGGCUUACCAAGGCGACGAUGCGUAGCCGACCUGAGAGGGUGAUCGGCCACACUGGAACUGAGACACGGUCCAGACUCCUACGGGAGGCAGCAGUAGGGAAUCUUCCGCAAUGGGCGCAAGCCUGACGGAGCAACGCCGCGUGAGUGAUGAAGGUCUUCGGAUCGUAAAACUCUGUUAUUAGGGAAGAACAAAUGUGUAAGUAACUAUGCACGUCUUGACGGUACCUAAUCAGAAAGCAACGGCUAACUACGUG